GAGCUUGCUUCAAUAGCACAUAUACUAAAAUUGGAAUGAUAUAGAGAUUAGCGAUUAGCAUGGCCCCUGCAUAAGACCACACGCAACUUUGUAAAGCAUUCCAUAUUUUU